GCAGUUAGUUCCCUAAAAUGAAAUUUCAGUUUUAAGUUUCCGUGUUCCCUUGCCAGAAGCGCACCUUCCUAAUGGCCAAAAUCAUUUAGCCUUCACUUUCAAUUACCCGCCGUAACGAAGCGUAGAGAGCAUUUAUCAAAAUGCCAAACUAGAUAACUUAAUUAAAGCCCGAAAAUCAAUCUGCAUAUAUAUGGGGCCUGACAAAAUCAAAAUCUCAGCAGCACCACCCACCGCCCCGCGCCCCACAAACAAUGGGAAGCAACGGCAAACAACAACAUCCGCUUAUCGCGAUAAAUCAAAGCCACGAGUGUUGUUAAUUUUCCGAGAAAAUUUGGGUAUACAAAGUUUCUUAGGGGGAUAAAGGAGAAGAGGAGAGAAACGUGCGUGAGUGUGCAUGCCAGGAAAGGGGGAGCUGGAUAUGGAAACUUCUUUGCUCACUUUGGGGUCCAAACUGCUGAAUGCCAGUCAUGUCAACAGCAACUUGGGGAAGUCUGCAACACACUCAAGCAGAAAAUUAUCAACUCCGCGGAGAGAUACGCAGAUGAAGAUAUUAACUAAGCUUCUGCUCGGCUAGACCAAAAGAUGUUCCGUGCAGAAAAAACGGGGGAAAAAUGAGCAAACCCCUGCCACCGCAGGCCAAAAUUAAAUUGUGCACAUUUCCGUGGAGCGGAAAUUGCCCAAGUUUGUCACUUGGAAUGAGUACAUACGGAACCUGGGAUGUGCAUAAUGGAAUCGCCAUCCAUGAGUUUCCUCUCCGCAAAUUGAAAUUCAUAUCAUUCACUUUAAUGCGAAACAGCACUCCCUCCCUCAGAAUUUGGUAAUUGAACAAAGCACACAGGUGUAAAUUAUGUAUUGAAAUUGUGGGAGUUUUGGUUUACAUUUUAAAGCCCCAGAGCGGUGAACAAAACAUUUGCCUAGCCAUAAUCACUUCCAUUGCAUUUAACCAGAAAUUAGCGGAUGCUGUGACCUGUGUGCAAUUUGCACUCAUAAUUAAAUUAAAUGCCUAAUUAAUUACCCUUAGACUCGUGCAUCAACUGCAAAUGUGCCAAAUGUAAUCCGAAUGAACAUGUAGCUGCACAGUUGCGCACGAAGUUGUUUAAUUUAUGAUCG